UAGCUUGCUGCCCGCUGACGAGCGGCGGACGGGUGAGUAAUGCAUAGGAAUCUGCCCGAUAGUGGGGGAUAACCUGGGGAAACCCAGGCUAAUACCGCAUACGUCCUACGGGAGAAAGGGGGCUCCGGCUCCCGCUAUGGGAUGAGCCUAUGUCGGAUUAGCUAGUUGGUGAGGUAACGGCUCACCAAGGCCACGAUCCGUAGCUGGUCUGAGAGGAUGAUCAGCCACAUCGGGACUGAGACACGGCCCGAACUCCUACGGGAGGCAGCAGUGGGGAAUAUUGGACAAUGGGGGCAACCCUGAUCCAGCCAUGCCGCGUGUGUGAAGAAGGCCCUCGGGUUGUAAAGCACUUUCAGUGAGGAAGAACGCCUGGUGGUUAAUACCCAUCAGGAAAGACAUCACUCACAGAAGAAGCACCGGCUAACUCCGUGCCAGCAGCCGCGGUAAUACGGAGGGUGCGAGCGUUAAUCGGAAUUACUGGGCGUAAAGCGCGCGUAGGCGGCUUGAUAAGCCGGUUGUGAAAGCCCCGGGCUCAACCUGGGAACGGCAUCCGGAACUGUCAAGCUAAGUGCAGGAGAGGAAGGUAGAAUUCCCGGUGUAGCG
rnacentral:rRNA from 1 species